rnacentral:rRNA from 1 species
GUCUACGGCCAUGCCACCCUGAACACGCCCGAUCCCGUCUGAUCUCGGAAGCUAAGCAGGGUCAGGCCCGGUUAGUACUUGGAUGGGAGACCACCUAGGAAGACCAGGUGCUGUAGGCA